rnacentral:lncRNA from 1 species
CAUAUCAAUGGUUUCAAAAUUUUUUAUUAUAUAUUUCUCAUGCAUUUACUUUGUAUAGAUGUAUAUUAGUUUUUACAAUUGAUAAAAAAAUAUAUUUGUAAUUUGCUUAACUUAAUUAGAUUUUUGCUUUAUAUUAACUAUUUACUUUUGUGUAUUGAGCCACAUUGAAGCCAAAGACUGCUUGUAGCUCACAAGCUGAAAUUUGGCCACUGUGGAUAUAGGAUUUUAAGAUGUUUGUUUUUAUAACAGUCCAGUGCUGAUACAUCAUAAAAGUGGAAUUUUAAAAAUAAUAAGUAUGCAUAUCUUUUCUAUUACUUUUUUCAGCACCAUUUCCAUGCAUGAUUAACGAGUGGAGGGUCUAUCUGGUUUAUUACAUUGCAACCUUUAUUUUUUAUAUCAUAUAUCUUGGUCAUUUUAAUAAUUCUUCCUUUAUCUGGUUCCAUUUGUUUCAAAAUUUCAUCAUCAUCCUAAAGGAUCUUCACAUGAUGACUGAUAGUUCUCCCUAUAAGUACAGUAGUAGUACUCCUAAUUUCAUUAACAUCUUUUUUAUGUUCCUCUAACUCCUAGAUAAGUUCCUAGCUGUAUACUCCACAUAGUUUUCAAUUCUAUUUGUAUUCGUAGUUCAUAAUGGAUACUUGGAAGACCCCACUUCUUCUUUUAUGUGGUAUUGUAUCCUUGUCGUUGUGAAGCAUAUUGAAGAGAUUUACAGAUUAGAUAUAAUAUAUAAUAUAGAUUUUUCAAAUUCCUCAUUUCUUAUUUCUGCCAUUAUAUCUAGACAAUUUACUUUUCUAGUGCCACUCCUUUUGUAUUUUAAGGUCAGGUCUAAGCUGCCAUCUGAUAGCUCCUUGGGAGGUCAGGAAAUACCUGUAUAAUUUUUUAUGUUAUUAAAGUUAGAUUAAUUUAAAAGUUUUCAUUAAAAUUUAGGUCAGUUACAUUCCUAGAUUUUAAAUGGCCAUCUCAAAAAAUAUAUCCUCUGAGAUUUAGAGGCAUAACAAAAGCUAGCUUAAUUAACUCCUUGAAUGCCAGCUAUUUUUUGAAAUUAAAUCUAAUUAAGAUACAAAAAAAUAUGAAAAUUAAAAUUAUGAAAUCUCGCUUAAUUUU